rnacentral:rRNA from 1 species
GACAGAGGUGCCGAGCGUUAGGCGGAAUCACUGGGCUUAAAGCGUGUGUAGGCGGCCCGUUAAGUGUCUUGUGAAAUCCCCCGGCUCAACCGGGGAACGGCUGGGCAUACUGGCGGGCUUGGGUCGCUCAGGGGCAGACGGAACAGGCGGUGGAGCGGUGAAAUGCGUAGAUAUGCGGAGGAACACCGAUGGCGAAGGCAAUCCCCUGGACCUGUACUGACGCUCAUGCACGAAAGCGUGGGGAGCAAACAGG